rnacentral:rRNA from 1 species
GAUGAACGCUGGCGGCGUGCCUAAUACAUGCAAGUCGAGCGAACAGACGAGGAGCUUGCUCCUCUGACGUUAGCGGCGGACGGGUGAGUAACACGUGGAUAACCUACCUAUAAGACUGGGAUAACUUCGGGAAACCGGAGCUAAUACCGGAUAAUAUAUUGAACCGCAUGGUUCAAUAGUGAAAGACGGUUUUGCUGUCACUUAUAGGUGGAUCCGCGCCGCAUUAGCUAGUUGGUAAGGUAACGGCUUACCAAGGCGACGAUGCGUAGCCGACCUGAGAGGGUGAUCGGCCACAUUGGAACUGGGACACCGUCCAGACUCCUACGGGAGGCAGCAGUAGGGAAUCGUCCGCAAUGGGCGAAAGCCUGACGGAGCAACGCCGCGUGAGUGAUGAAGGUGUUCGGAUCGUAAAACUCUGUUAUGAGGGAAGAACAAAUGUGUAAGUAACUAUGCACGUCCUGACGGUACCUAAUCAGAAAGCCACGGCUAACUACGUG